CUCGUAGGCGGGACCGUAAGUCCAAGAGGAAAUCUCAAGGCUCAACUUUGGGGCUUUCUUGGAUACUGCGGUUCUUGAGGAUAUCAGAGGAAAGUAGAAUUCCCGGUGUAGCGGUGAAAUGCGUAGAUAUCGGGAGGAAUACCAGUGGCGAAGGCGACUUUCUGGGAUAUUCCUGACGCUGAGGAGCGAAAGCGUGGGGAGGCAAACG
rnacentral:rRNA from 1 species